rnacentral:lncRNA from 1 species
GGCAUGGAAGUUGUAAAGGUUGGAGGUCCCGUCUACAGGAUUGGAGUUGGAGGUGGAGCUGCUUCAUCUGUGCAGUGCAGGGAGAUAACACCAGUGACCUGGACUUUGGGGCUGUGCAGCGAGGAGACCCGGAGAUGGAACAGAAGAUGAACCGUGUGAUCAGGGCUUGUGUGGAGGCCCCCAAGGGAAACCCCAUCUGCAGCCUUCAUGAUCAGGGCGCUGGUGGCAAUGCAAUGUCCUAAAAGAGCUGAGUGACCCAGCUGGAGCCAUCAUUUACACCAGCCGCUUCCAGUAGUGCUGGUGGACGAUCGGGAGUGUCCUGUCAGAAGAAAUGGCCAGGGGGAUGCCCCCCCGA